rnacentral:hammerhead_ribozyme from 1 species
CACUGGUCUAGAGCUGGCAUCGCUCUCCUGAUGAGUCCAAGGCAAGACGAAACUAGUG